rnacentral:rRNA from 1 species
AUUGAACGCUGGCGGCAUGCUUUACACAUGCAAGUCGAACGGUAACAGGGUGCUUGCACCGCUGACGAGUGGCGAACGGGUGAGUAAUGCGUCGGAACGUGCCGAGUAGUGGGGGAUGACGCAUCGAAAGGUGUGCUAAUACCGCAUACGUACUGAGGUAGAAAGUGGGGGACCUUCGGGCCUCACGCUAUUCGAGCGGCCGACGUCUGAUUAGCUAGUUGGUGAGGUAAAGGCUCACCAAGGCGACGAUCAGUAGCGGGUCGGAGAGGAUGAUCCGCCACACUGGGACUGAGACACGGCCCAGACUCCUGCGGGAGGCAGCAGUGGGGAAUUUUGGACAAUGGGCGCAAGCCUGAUCCAGCCAUGCCGCGUGUCUGAAGAAGGCCUUCGGGUUGUAAAGGACUUUUGUCCGGGAGCAAAUGCCUGGUGUUAAUAGCAUCGGGAGCUGAGAGUACCGGAAGAAUACGCACCGGCUAACUACGUGCCAGCAGCCGCCGUAACAC